GCUUGUCUCAAAGAUUAAGCCAUGCAUGUGUAAGUAUAAACGAUCUAUACUGUGAAACUGCGAAUGGCUCAUUAUAUCAGUUAUAGUUUAUUUGAUAAUACUUUACUACUUGGAUAACCGUAGUAAUUCUAGAGCUAAUACAUGCAUCAAACCCCGACUUCUGGAAGGGGUGUAUUUAUUAGAUGGAAACCAAUGCGGGGCAACCCGGUAUAUGGUGAUUCAUAAUAACUUUCGGAUCGAUUUAUCGAUGCAUCAUUCAAGUUUCUGCCCUAUCAGCUUUGGAUGGUAGGGUAUUGGCCUACCAUGGCUUUAACGGGUAACGGAGAAUUAGGGUUCGAUUCCGGAGAGGGAGCCUGAGAAAUGGCUACCACAUCCAAGGAAGGCAGCAGG
rnacentral:rRNA from 1 species